CUCCCUCUCUUUCUCAGGUAUUUUCAUCUCUCUCUCUCUCUCCUCCAAAAUCAAAAACUAUACAUACAUAAAUUUGUAAACCCUAAUUUUUGUUUUCCUAAUCUUUCUGUGGUCACUUUUCUAAGAAUCUCUUUUGUUUUAUUUCAAUUUUUGCAGGUUCAUAUGCUUUCGAAGUUGUGUUUUGCGGUUUCGCCUUCAGAUUUUUUCUCGUUGAGCUUCUUUGAUCGAGAUUUUUUUUCUUGCAUUGUUCUUUGAUUUCCUGCUCGCUGUUUGUUGCUGAGAAAGCUGGGGAGUCAUUGUGUUUUUAGCUGAGCUAGUGGUUGGAUUAGUGGGAUUAGCUGGAUUUGGUUAUGGUGUUAUAUUGGUUCUCAGCUUUGACAUUUACAACUUUGAUUUCAUUCAACCCAACCUAGCAUUUAGUGAAUGGCAUCUUUUUCCCUUUUACUCUGCUUAUGUUUGUUUCAAUUGGAAUGUAUGAUUAUGGUAUGUAUUAUCAUGUUCACAACUGUUGGUGGCUCUAAUUGAAGUUGUACAACUGGAAGCGUCAGGCCAGUUCAAAGUUCGUUUUUUCCUGCAGAGUU
rnacentral:lncRNA from 1 species